rnacentral:rRNA from 1 species
AGAGUUUGAUCCUGGCUCAGGAUGAACGCUAGCGGCAGGCCUAACACAUGCAAGUCGAACGGUAAGGACCACUUCGGUGGUUACACGAGUGGCGCACGGGUGAGUAACGCGUAUGCAACCUACCCUUAACAGGGGGAUAGCCCGAAGAAAUUCGGAUUAAUACCCCAUAAUACUAUAGAUAAGCAUUUAUUUAUAGUAAAAACUCCGGUGGUUAAGGAUGGGCAUGCGUACCAUUAGAUAGUUGGUAAGGUAACGGCUUACCAAGUCUACGAUGGUUAGGGGGCCUGAGAGGGUGGCCCCCCACACUGGUACUGAGACACGGACCAGACUCCUACGGGAGGCAGCAGUGAGGAAUAUUGCGCAAUGGACGAAAGUCUGACGCAGCCAUGCCGCGUGCAGGAUGACGGCCCUACGGGUUGUAAACUGCUUUUAUACAGGAAGAAGACCUUCAACGUGUUGAGAGUUGACGGUACUGUAGGAAUAAGCAUCGGCUAACUCCGUGCCAGCAGCCGCGGUAAUACGGAGGAUGCAAGCGUUAUCCGGAUUUAUUGGGUUUAAAGGGUGCGUAGGCGGAAUAAUAAGUCAGUGGUGAGAUCCUGCAGCUUAACUGUAGAACUGCCAUUGAUACUGUUAUUCUUGAAUAUAGUCGAGGUAGGCGGAAUGUGUAAUGUAGCGGUGAAAUGCAUAGAUAUUACACAGAACACCGAUUGCGUAGGCAGCUUACUAAGCUAUUAUUGACGCUGAGGCACGAAAGCGUGGGGAUCGAACAGGAUUAGAUACCCUGGUAGUCCACGCUGUAAACGAUGAUCACUAGCUGUUGGCGAUACACCGAUCAGCGGCAAAGCGAAAGCAUUAAGUGAUCCACCUGGGGAGUACGGUCGCAAGAUUGAAACUCAAAGGAAUUGACGGGGGCCCGCACAAGCGGAGGAACAUGUGGUUUAAUUCGAUGAUACGCGAGGAACCUUACCUGGGCUUAAAUGCAGGACGACGAACUGGGAAACCAGUUUUCUCUUCGGAGCGGACUGCAAGGUGCUGCAUGGUUGUCGUCAGCUCGUGCCGUGAGGUGUCGGGUUAAGUCCCAUAACGAGCGCAACCCCUAUCGUUAGUUGCCAGCGGAUCAUGCCGGGGACUCUAACGAAACUGCCGGUGUAAACCGAGAGGAAGGUGGGGAUGACGUCUAAUCAGCACGGCCCUUAUGUCCAGGGCUACACACGUGUUACAAUGGUCGGUACAGAGGGUAGCUACUAUGUAAAUAGAUGCCAAUCUCGAAAACCGGUCUUAGUUCGGAUCGAAGUCUGCAACUCGACUUCGUGAAGCUGGAUUCGCUAGUAAUCGCGCAUCAGCCACGGCGCGGUGAAUAC